AAGUCGUAACAAGGUUUCCGUAGGUGAACCUGCGGAAGGAUCAUUAACACGUGAUACUCACGUAUUAAAUACCCACCGAGAAUUUGUUUUCUUACCUAUUGUUGAUUGUAAAUAGAUUGUAUGAGGGAGUGCUAUUGGCCGCCUUUCGUAAGAUUGUACGCCAUAACUCUGCAAUCGUUCUAGGUCCGCCCUGGAGUCUGCACCAACAAAUAGAUGAUGAAAUUAUGACUGCUUAUUAAGCCUGUAGCAUAGCUUGCAGCUCAUAGUGAACUAAUUAACCCCUUUUUCUAUUAUUUACUGAUUUGUAUGUUUAUAUGAAUUCCUGGUUUUCGGACUGGUUGAGUUUAUAUAGAUGUCGUAUAUUACUAAUACGAAACAACUCUUAGCAACGGAUAUCUUGGUUCUC
rnacentral:misc_RNA from 1 species